CCGCUCUAUGGGUCAUCCUCCUGGACUUAAAGAUAGACGCCCCUCCAGAGAGGAAGGAGUCCAGAAGGAGAGAGCGGACUCCCCUGGACCCAGCUGUGUCUCCUUGAAGAGCGACCGGUCUAUGGAUCGUCCUCCUGGACUUAAAGAUGGACGCCCCUCCAGAGAGGAGAGGCGACUCCAGGAGAGGUCAAAGGUUAUCAGUGCUCGGUCUGUACAGCAGAAUCAAGCAGAGCUGAUCAAGAGGGCUGAGGAGAACGCACACGUUUUUCUAGACAAGGAGC